rnacentral:rRNA from 1 species
ACUCCUGCGGGAGGCAGCAGUGGGGAAUAUUGGACAAUGGGCGCAAGCCUGAUCCAGCCAUGCCGCGUGAGUGAUGAAGGCCCUAGGGUUGUAAAGCUCUUUCACCGGUGAAGAUAAUGACGGUAACCGGAGAAGAAGCCCCGGCUAACUUCGUGCCAGCAGCCGCGGUAAUACGAAGGGGGCUAGCGUUGUUCGGAUUUACUGGGCGUAAAGCGCACGUAGGCGGACUAUUAAGUCAGGGGUGAAAUCCCGGGGCUCCACCCCGGAACUGCCUUUGAUACUGGUAGUCUUGAGUUCGAGAGAGGUGAGUGGAAUUCCGAGUGUAGAGGUGAAAUUCGUAGAUAUUCGGAGGAACACCAGUGGCGAAGGCGGCUCACUGGCUCGAUACUGACGCUGAGGUGCGAAAGCGUGGGGAGCAAACAGGAUUAGAUACCCGGGUAGUCCCA